rnacentral:lncRNA from 1 species
GCUGGAAUCGCUCACAACACACAUAUAUGCCGCCACAUUAUAAUUGGUAUUCACAACCACUACUAAUUGAUCAUCCAAAUUACAGGUUAAGACCGACACCAAGAUUUAAUGCGCUGAGGGAUUAUGGACAACACACUAGAACUAACAAUCAAAGCCGAACAUCUCCAUUUAUUAUAAUAUCAGGAAUAGCACAACGGAAAGAAGGGAGAAGUAAUUUUAAAAAUAAUAAUAAUAAUAUAAAUUACAAAAAUGAAUUGUUAACAAUGAUAAAACAGAUUUGUAGCCGACUUGAUAGACUCGAAUGUAAAGUA